rnacentral:rRNA from 1 species
UACAGAGGCCUCGAGCGUUGUUCGGAAUUACUGGGCGUAAAGAGAACGUAGGUGGUGACGUAAGUCAGAUGUGAAAGCCCUGGGCUUAACCUGGGAAGUGCAUUUGAUACUGCGUUGCUCGAGUACAAGAGAGGAAAGCGGAAUUCCCAGUGUAGGAGUGAAAUCCGUAGAUAUUGGGAGGAAUACCGAUGGCGAAGGCAGCUUUCUGGCUUGUAACUGACACUGAGGUUCGAAAGCGUGGGUAGCAAACAGG